rnacentral:rRNA from 1 species
CCCCGGUAAACGGCGGCCGUAACUAUAACGGUCCUAAGGUAGCGAAAUUCCUUGUCGGGUAAGUUCCGACCUGCACGAAUGGCGUAAUGAUGGCCAGGCUGUCUCCACCCGAGACUCAGUGAAAUUGAACUCGCUGUGAAGAUGCAGUGUACCCGCGGCAAGACGGAAAGACCCCGUGAACCUUUACUAUAGCUUGACACUGAACACUGGUCCUUGAUGUGUAGGAUAGGUGGGAGGCUUUGAAGUGUGGACGCCAGUCUGCAUGGAGCCGUCCUUGAAAUACCACCCUUUAAUGGCUGGUGUUCUAACGUUGGCCCGUAAUCCGGGUUGCGGACAGUGUCUGGUGGGUAGUUUGACUGGGGCGGUCUCCUCCUAAAGAGUAACGGAGGAGCACGAAGGUUGGCUAAUCCUGGUCGGACAUCAGGAGGUUAGUGCAAUGGCAUAAGCCAGCUUGACUGCGAGCGUGACGGCGCGAGCAGGUGCGAAAGCAGGUCAUAGUGAUCCGGUGGUUCUGAAUGGAAGGGCCAUCGCUCAACGGAUAAAAGGUACUCCGGGGAUAACAGGCUGAUACCGCCCAAGAGUUCAUAUCGACGGCGGUGUUUGGCACCUCGAUGUCGGCUCAUCACAUCCUGGGGCUGAAGUAGGUCCCAAGGGUAUGGCUGUUCGCCAUUUAAAGUGGUACGCGAGCUGGGUUUAGAACGUCGUGAGACAGUUCGGUCCCUAUCUGCCGUGGGCGCUGGAGAACUGAGGGGGGCUGCUCCUAGUACGAGAGGACCGGAGUGGACGCAUCACUGGUGUUCGGGUUGUCAUGCCAAUGGCACUGCCCGGUAGCUAAAUGCGGAAGAGAUAAGUGCUGAAAGCAUCUAAGCACGAAACUUGCCCCGAGAUGAGUUCUCCCUGAGACAUUAAGUCUCCUGAAGGAACGUUGAAGACGACGACGUUGAUAGGCCGGGUGUGUAAGCGCAGCGAUGCGUUGAGCUAACCGGUACUAAUGAACCGUGAGGCUUAACCUUACAACGCCGAAGGUGUUU